AUUGAACGCUGGCGGCAGGCCUAACACAUGCAAGUCGAGCGGAUGAAGGGAGCUUGCUCCUGGAUUCAGCGACGGACGGGUGAGUAAUGCCUAGGAAUCUGCCUGGUAGUGGGGGAUAACGUCCGGAAACGGGCGCUAAUACCGCAUACGUCCUGAGGGAGAAAGUGGGGGAUCUUCGGACCUCACGCUAUCAGAUGAGCCUAGGUCGGAUUAGCUAGUUGGUGGGGUAAAGGCCUACCAAGGCGACGAUCCGUAACUGGUCUGAGAGGAUGAUCAGUCACACUGGAACUGAGACACGGUCCAGACUCCUACGGGAGGCAGCAGUGGGGAAUAUUGGACAAUGGGCGAAAGCCUGAUCCAGCCAUGCCGCGUGUGUGAAGAAGGUCUUCGGAUUGUAAAGCACUUUAAGUUGGGAGGAAGGGCAGUAAGUUAAUACCUUGCUGUUUUGACGUUACCAACAGAAUAAGCACCGGCUAACUUCGUG
rnacentral:rRNA from 1 species